rnacentral:rRNA from 1 species
UACAGAGGUCUCAAGCGUUGUUCGGAUUCAUUGGGCGUAAAGGGUGCGUAGGCGGCGCGGUAAGUCGGGUGUGAAAUCUUGGAGCUUAACUCCGAAACUGCAUUCGAUACUGCCGUGCUUGAGGACUGGAGAGGAGACUGGAAUUUACGGUGUAGCGGUGAAAUGCGUAGAUAUCGUAAGGAAGACCAGUGGCGAAGGCGGGUCUCUGGACAGUUCCUGACGCUGAGGCAACGGAAGGUCAGGGGAGCAAACGGG